CAAAAUAUAGCCCAACUAAAGCACCUCGCUUACACCGAGAUGAUACCUGAUAAACCCAGGUUAUUUUGA
rnacentral:tRNA from 1 species